rnacentral:rRNA from 1 species
UACGUAGGGGGCUAGCGUUGUCCGGAUUUAUUGGGCGUAAAGAGCGUGUAGGCGGCUGGGUAGGUCUGCUGUGAAAACUCGAGGCUCAACCUCGAGACGUCGGCGGAAACCCUCCAGCUAGAGUCCGGAAGAGGAGAGUGGAAUUCCUGGUGUAGCGGUGAAAUGCGCAGAUAUCAGGAAGAACACCCGUGGCGAAAGCGGCUCUCUGGGACGGUACUGACGCUGAGACGCGAAAGCGUGGGGAGCGAACAGG